rnacentral:rRNA from 1 species
GGCUCACCAAGGCAACGAUGCGUAGCCGACCUGAGAGGGUGAUCGGCCACACUGGGACUGAGACACGGCCCAGACUCCUACGGGAGGCAGCAGUAGGGAAUCUUCCGCAAUGGACGAAAGUCUGACGGAGCAACGCCGCGUGAGUGAUGAAGGCUUUCGGGUCGUAAAACUCUGUUGUUAGGGAAGAACAAGUGCUAGUUGAAUAAGCUGGCACCUUGACGGUACCUAACCAGAAAGCCACGGCUAACUACGUGCCAGCAGCCGCGGUAAUACGUAGGUGGCAAGCGUUAUCCGGAAUUAUUGGGCGUAAAGCGCGCGCAGGUGGUUUCUUAAGUCUGAUGUGAAAGCCCACGGCUCAACCGUGGAGGGUCAUUGGAAACUGGGAGACUUGAGUGCAGAAGAGGAAAGUGGAAUUCCAUGUGUAGCGGUGAAAUGCGUAGAGAUAUGGAGGAACACCAGUGGCGA